rnacentral:lncRNA from 1 species
GUGCAGCAGGCCACUAUUUGAAUGUGUGUUGCUCCUUGUGGCAGGUAUACUGUUCCAAUGCCCUGGGAUCUCUGUAGUGGUCGGUACUGUAUUGAUUAUAAAUGGUGAAGUCCUAGUAUCUUGCUAGAGUGAGCUGGCCAGGAUGGUGGAGCUCUACCACCAUUUCACAGGUUAUAGACAGGGGCCACCAGGUUUCAGGAAAGCAGCAAUGACCCCUCAGUAAUAGUUGGAAAGUGUGAUAUGACACUGAGCUUCACUGUGUUGGUGAAGAAGAGGUGAGGAAAAUAAAAGCUGCAGUUUGCCUCCACCUCUGAAGAAGCACAAUACACCUUUCUGGGUUACCAAUGGGAUACUUCCCAACAGCUUUGUCAUCACAUACAAUAUUCUCAAACAAGAUCUUAAUGGCAUCUACUUUCUCCAGGAACACAGCCCCUGACCUGUGUGUGUUUGCGUAGAGAAGGCAUGCUAUGUACCCCCUAGGAUAUCAAGAUUCCUGUAGCAGAUUGAGCUCUGGCAGUUGAUCUCAGUGGCUUGAUAGAGUGUCAUUAUAAAAACGCACCUGGAAGAUUCUGUGGAAAAGACAACCUCAGAAGACCAAGGAAUCUGCCCACCACUCAAGCCUGGGAAAGCUGGCAGAGGAUGCACGUGUUUUACUCACCUGAGUGUUUACAAUGCUCGUGAGGUGCCUCCCUGAUAUUUUUAUAGCAGAAUGGAGAAACACAACCAAGGAGAUACACCUAAGUAACAACAGCAAUGAUGUCAAAAAGAGUGCCUGAAUACUUAGGGUGGAGGUCCUGGACAUGCAAACCCAAGCUUCCUCUUUGCUGUGGCCAGGAAUCUGCAGUGAUUGAGAGCACAGACUGUAUCUAAAAUUCCACCUUUCAAAGUUCAGCAUAUUACUUUUUUUUUUCUUACACCUAUAAGUAAGAAACUUAAGCUCACUAUCCUUCAAUUUCCUCAUCCGUAUAAAGUGCAUAAUAAUUGUCCCUAUCCCAUA